rnacentral:rRNA from 1 species
UACGUAGGGUGCGAGCGUUGUCCGGAAUUAUUGGGCGUAAAGGGUAGGUAGGUGGUCUCAUUUGUCUGGGGUGAAAGCCUUGAGCUUAACUCAAGAAGUGCCCCAGAAACGGUGAGACUGGAGUCCUGGAGAGGGUCGUGGAAUUCCCGGUGUAGCGGUGAAAUGCGUAGAGAUCGGGAGGAACACCAGAGGCGAAAGCGGCGACCUGGACAGGCACUGACACUCAACUACGAAAGCGUGGGGAGCAAACAGG